UACGUAGGGUGCAAGCGUUGUCCGGAAUCACUGGGCGUAAAGGGCGCGUAGGCGGCCCUGGUAAGUCUGCGGUGAAAGCCCGGGGCUCAACCCCGGGUCGGCCGCGGGUACUGCCGGGCUGGAGUGCCGUAGGGGCAGGCGGAAUUCCAGGUGUAGCGGUGAAAUGCGUAGAGAUCUGGAGGAACACCGAUGGCGAAGGCAGCCUUCUGGGCCAACACUGACGCUCAUGCACGAAAGCGUGGGGAGCAAACAGG
rnacentral:rRNA from 1 species